AAAGGGAAACGACCACUUUAACGGUUUCCACCGGUUCUAAUUUGGCUCAAGUCGGAGUGAAACACACUCCGGUGGAAAUUCCCAUGCAGGCAGGGCAAAGAGAGACAGAAGGGAUGAGAGACAGAGGAGAGAUGACAAGACAAAUGUCAAAAUUUGGAUGUGAACUCAUUUGACAGGACGCAGAAGGAACAAAGGAUUUCCAUGACACAAGGGGCCCAGGACAGGACUGAAGGAGGG